rnacentral:rRNA from 1 species
GACGAACGCUGGCGGCGUGCUUAACACAUGCAAGUCGAACGAUGAAGCCCUUUCGGGGGUGGAUUAGUGGCGAACGGGUGAGUAACACGUGGGUAACCUGCCCUGUACCCUGGGAUAAGCCUUGGAAACGAGGUCUAAUACCGGAUAUGACCUGCUCUCGCAUGGGGGUGGGUGGAAAGUUUUGGCGGUGCAGGAUGGACCCGCGGCCUAUCAGCUUGUUGGUGGGGUGAUGGCCUACCAAGGCGACGACGGGUAGCCGGCCUGAGAGGGCGACCGGCCACACUGGGACUGAGACACGGCCCAGACUCCUACGGGAGGCAGCAGUGGGGAAUAUUGCACAAUGGGCGAAAGCCUGAUGCAGCGACGCCGCGUGAGGGAUGACGGCCUUCGGUUGUAAC